UUCCCUCCAAACUCUCCUGGCCCUGUGCUGCCGUGGCCCAUGGAGCUGAAGCGUGGGAGGGAGAGAUUAGAGCACGGAGCCCACUGAAGCCCACAGUCCCCUUCUGAAUUCACUUCACCAUGUCCAUAGGGUAUGGGGCUCCAGGAUGACACAUAGUCUGUGGGGGCAUUUCUCCCGAGAAACAGCCUGGCAGCCUCGUCAAUCCCUUGUAUAAAAAAUGGAGUCAACACGUUCAGACGGUCAUAUACCCCGGGGGGUCCUAAUCCUCAACCUACCUCUUAACUCUAAAGGUUAUUUCACCAAGAGCAUCCCACCAGUCCAUCAUGCUGCCCAGAGCUUUGAGAGAGGACCCACGAUCCCCCUGGGGACCAAAAAUGCUAAAAUAGGAACAGGCCUAAUCCUCCUCUUGGCCUCACCGUGACUUAAGCUGAAAGGAGUGGGGAGACCUGGGACCUGGUUGGUCAAGGCUUUCCAUCCCCCUCAGACUUCCCUUCAAAAGGGCAAAGCCACUCACAGGCACCCACACUCUGAAACCUCAAUUUUGGUAAGUGGCCUGAAUCAUUACCGCAACCAAACCUUCUCUAUGAAGUGUUUACAAAUAGAAAAAUUGUCCGGUUCUAAUUCUGUUUGAUUGAUUCUGCCAAAGGAGAAGGGAAGAAUGAAAGUCUGGGUAAUCCACAAACUAGAAAAUUGGUGUCUGAUGAGAGCCGACGGUAUCUUCUUGGAGGCCAUGCAAGGCCAACAGCACUGGCCUACUUUUGUUCUGAAACCUCCCAUCCCGGAGCCACAAUUGCUACCACUUUGGUGGCAGAAGGAAGAUGUUUAUCCUUCACAAAGACAGCAAGCUUUCCAGCCCCUUCUGUAAUCUCCCAGGCCACUAAGGGGCCAGCCACAUGGUGUCGGCAGAUGCAGAGAGGGGCUGGCAAUUCUCAUACCAGGAAUUCCUCCGCUGUCCUUCCAGCAUCAAUUACAGAUCGCCUCCCUUCCUUCCAGCGGCAGAGAACCUGAGGCUUCGCUCCUGACUCCCAGCUUCCCACCCAGGCCUGACAGCAAUUUGUAACCCCCGCUUACACAGGCUCUCUUGCUGUCUGCAUUUUUGUUUGGAAAAUGAGCAAUUUGCUGUUGGCCGCUUGGCUCCUCUGUGAAGUCGGCAGAAAGGACGGCUCACCGAGGGGGACAGAUGGUCAGCGAAAGCAAGAGUCAGACCAUCAAGCUCAUCGCCCAAGCCUUGCCCCCGCCUGGAUCCCGAGCCGUUACGGGAGAACUGUCACACAGAAGAUUCCAGAGGUGACUUGAAAUCUUCGGUUCCUUGCAAUGGGUAGCACAGAUGGCUGUUUAAGGAACCACAUGAAAGAGACACCGUGAAAGGAUGGAAUGCACAGAAUUCAAAUGUGGGAAUACGAUACAACCGAAAACGUCUUAAGACACCAGGAAAAUAUUACACUGUGAUUGUUAAGUGGAAAGAGCAAAGUUUCAGAAGAAUAAAUGAUGUAAAAUUUAUGUAAAAUUAUUAACAUAAUGUAUGUUUUUUAACAUAAUGUAUGUAUGUUUUUAUGUAUGUUUACAUAAAAUGUAUGUAAAAUUAUUAACAUAAUGUAUCACACAGUCAGUACUUAAAGUAUGUAAGUCAUUAUCACUCUUACCUCUCCUUGGAGCCCAGAUCCAAAACCAUUUCCCUUAUCUGAUUGUCCAGACGGAGAUAAUCCCUCCUUACAGCUCCGUAUAGCCAGCCCGACUUUAGCAUGUACGACUAUAUACCUUGGAUUAUUUUCAUUUAUGGUAUGUUUUAAAUGUCACCUGAUAAUAAAUAUUCCUCCUUCUCGUUUUGCUUCA